rnacentral:lncRNA from 1 species
AAGGUGUUUUCGAUGAUGCUACAACAAGAACGACAGCUUAAUAAUGUCUUGGUAAUAGAAGCAGAUACUAAGGCUUUAAUGUUGGAGUCAAAUGCACAGCAACCUAAGAAUGUUGGCAGUAACAAUGCCUCAAAUUAUUCUAGAGGCAAGAGUGUGAAUUUCAGAGGAAGAGGUGGAAAGUUUAUCAACGGCAGAGGCGUAGGCAACAAAUAUUGCACUUAUUGUGAAAGAAAUAAUCAUACAGUUGAGACAUGUUAUUUUAAGCAUGGCUUUCCACCUAGUUUUCAAUCCAUGAAGUCUCUAAAGAUGGCUAAUCAAGCCUCAGGUUGUUCUAAUUCCAAGGCUGGAUCUAGCUCAGAUGGUAGCAAUCAAUCUAACAAACAUGGCAAGGCUCUCACUCAAGAAGAAGUAGAAGGAAUUCUGAACCUACUUAAUCAAAGUAGAACAAAUGUCACACAUGCCUCAACAACAUCUGCAAAUAGCACAACAACAACACAUAUAGCAGGUACCUUCAGUGAUAAGUGGUUAGUUGACAUAGGAGCCACUGAUCACAUAGCUUGCAAUUUAUCCUUGUUCACCAGUCAUAAACAGAUGAGCCUCAUUGUUAUUACUCUGCCCAAUGGUGAAAGGGUUACAACUAAUGUGUGUGGGGAUAUUUGCAUAAGUCCUGAUCUUGUACCUUCAGUGAUAAGCUUAUGACUGAUAUUUGCAUAAGUCCUGAUAUUAUU